rnacentral:rRNA from 1 species
CCUACGGGAGGCAGCAGUGGGGAAUAUUGCACAAUGGGGGAAACCCUGAUGCAGCGACGCCGCGUGAAGGAUGAAGUAUUUCGGUAUGUAAACUUCUAUCAGCAGGGAAGAAAAUGACGGUACCUGACUAAGAAGCCCCGGCUAACUACGUGCCAGCAGCCGCGGUAAUACGUAGGGGGCAAGCGUUAUCCGGAUUUACUGGGUGUAAAGGGAGCGUAGACGGCAUGGCAAGUCUGAUGUGAAAACCCGGGGCUCAACCCCGGGACUGCAUUGGAAACUGUCAGGCUAGAGUGCAGGAGAGGUAAGCGGAAUUCCUGGUGUAGCGGUGAAAUGCGUAGAUAUCAGGAGGAACACCGGCGGCGAAGGCGGCUUACUGGACUGUAACUGACGUUGAGGCUCGAAGGCGUGGGGAGCAAACAGGAUUAGAUACCCCAGUAGUC